CAAGCGUUGUUCGGAAUUACUGGGCGUAAAGGGCGCGUAGGCGGCCCGUCAAGUCCCGUGUGAAAGCCCCCGGCUCAACCGGGGAACGGCGCGGGAAACUAGCAGGCUUGAGUUCGGGAGAGGGAAGCGGAAUUCCGGGUGUAGAGGUGAAAUUCGUAGAUAUUCGGAAGAACACCAGUGGCGAAGGCGACUUACUGGACACAUAUUGACGCUGAGGUGCGAAAGCGUGGGGAGCAAACAGG
rnacentral:rRNA from 1 species